rnacentral:lncRNA from 10 species
AAAAGCAGCGGGCUUCAGCGGAUGAACAAGGCUGGAGUGAAGCGGAACAAACAAACAUGGCUCACUGCAGAUUUGACUUCCUGGCUCAAGCAAUCCUCUUGCUUCAACCUCCAGUGUAGCAGGGACCACAGAUGUUCAGGAAGUUUUAAAUUUUCAAGUCAAAUCUGCUUAUUUUUCUUGAUGACUUAUACUGCUUAGAAAGUUAUUCCCACCUCCAGAAGUGUCUUUCUUUUCUUUUAAAUCAUGAAAGCCCCUUUAGGGGAGGUGACUGGAAUCAUCCCCAAAGAAUUCUCACCUAGUCCUGGUGUGGCUGCUUCAUAGUCCUGCGUUUCUUCCUGCUUGGCUGUCCCUAACAUCUCAGAAACGCAUAGAGAAGUAACGGGCUUCUAGAGAGCCUAAACACUUG